rnacentral:rRNA from 1 species
UACGAAGGUCCCGAGCGUUGUUCGGAUUUACUGGGCGUAAAGAGUAUGUAGGCGGCAAGGUAAGUCAGAUGUGAAAGCCCAGGGCUCAACCUUGGAACUGCAUCCGAUACUGCCUUGCUUGAGUAAUGGAGGGGUAUCUGGAAUUCACGGUGUAGCAGUGAAAUGCGUAGAUAUCGUGAGGAACACUAGUGGCGAAGGCG